rnacentral:tRNA from 4 species
GGGCGCGUAGCUCAGCGGUAGAGCUCUGGUUUUACACACCAGCGGUCGGCGGUUCGAUCCCGUCCGCGCCCACC